UACGUAGGGGGCUAGCGUUGCUCGGAAUCACUGGGCGUAAAGCGCACGUAGGCGGCUUUUUAAGUCAGGGGUGAAAUCCUGGAGCUCAACUCCAGAACUGCCUUUGAUACUGAGGAGCUUGAGUCCGGGAGAGGUGAGUGGAACUGCGAGUGUAGAGGUGAAAUUCGUAGAUAUUCGCAAGAACACCAGUGGCGAAGGCGGCUCACUGGCCCGGUACUGACGCUGAGGUGCGAAAGCGUGGGGAGCAAACAGG
rnacentral:rRNA from 1 species